UAGUAAUCUUGCUCAGUACAAGAGGAACCACAGGUUCAGACAUUUGGUGUAUGUGCUUGGCUGAGGAGCCAAUGGGGCAAAGCUACCAUCUGUGAGAUUAUGACUGAACGCCUUUCUGUCAUUUUAGCCUA
rnacentral:ncRNA from 1 species